AACGAACGCUGGCGGCAGGCUUAACACAUGCAAGUCGAGCGCCCCGCAAGGGGAGCGGCAGACGGGUGAGUAACGCGUGGGAAUCUACCCAUCUCUACGGAAUAACGCAUGGAAACGUGUGCUAAUACCGUAUAUGUCCUUCGGGAGAAAGAUUUAUCGGAGAUGGAUGAGCCCGCGUUGGGUUAGCUAGUUGGUGGGGUAAAGGCCUAUCAAGGCGACGAUCCAUAGCUGGUCUGAGAGGAUGAUCAGCCACACUGGGACUGAGACACGGCCCAGACUCCUACGGGAGGCAGCAGUGGGGAAUAUUGGACAAUGGGCGCAAGCCUGAUCCAGCCAUGCCGCGUGAGUGAUGAAGGCCCUAGGGUUGUAAAGCUCUUUCACCGGUGAAGAUAAUGACGGUAACCGGAGAAGAAGCCCCGGCUAACUUCGUGCCAGCCGCCGCGGUAACAC
rnacentral:rRNA from 1 species